UGGCGGCGUGCCUAAUACAUGCAAGUCGAACGCACUCUCGUUUAGAUUGAAGGAGCUUGCUCUGAUUGAUAACAUUUGAGUGAGUGGCGGACGGGUGAGUAACACGUGGGUAACCUGCCCUAAAGUGGGGGAUAACAUUUGGAAACAGAUGCUAAUACCGCAUAAAACCUAACACCGCAUGGUGUAGGGUUGAAAGAUGGUUUCGGCUAUCACUUUAGGAUGGACCCGCGGUGCAUUAGUUAGUUGGUGAGGUAAAGGCUCACCAAGACCGUGAUGCAUAGCCGACCUGAGAGGUAAUCGGCCACACUGGGACUGAGACACGGCCCAGACUCCUACGGGAGGCAGCAGUAGGGAAUCUUCCACAAUGGACGAAAGUCUGAUGGAGCAACGCCGCGUGAGUGAAGAAGGUUUUCGGAUCGUAAAACUCUGUUGUUGGAGAAGAAUGUAUCUGAUAGUAACUGAUCAGGUAGUGACGGUGUCCAACCAGAAAGCCACGGCUAACUACGUG
rnacentral:rRNA from 1 species